rnacentral:rRNA from 1 species
UACGGAGGAUCCAAGCGUUGUUCGGAUUUAUUGGGUUUAAAGGGUGCGUAGGCGGAUUUUUAAGUCAGUGGUGAAAGCCUGUAGCUCAACUACAGAAUUGCCAUUGAAACUGAAAAUCUUGAGUAUAGUUGAGGUGGAUGGAAUGUUGCAUGUAGCGGUGAAAUGCUUAGAUAUGCAAUGGAACACCAAUAGCGAAGGCAGUUCACUAAACUAUUACUGACGCUGAGGCACGAAAGCGUGGGUAGCAAACAGG